rnacentral:rRNA from 1 species
AGCCAUGCGAGUCAUUGCAGCAAUGCAAGGCGGACGGCUCAGUAACACGUAGUCAACCUAUCCUUGCGGACGCGGAUAACCUCGGGAAACUGAGAAUAAACCGCGAUAGAUCAUUAUGCCUGGAAUGGCUUAUGGUCGAAAUAGUUUACUGCCACAGGAUGGGACUGCGGCCUAUCAGCUUGUUGGUGAGGUAAUGGCCCACCAAGGCUAUAACAGGUACGGGCUCUGAGAGGAGAAGCCCGGAGAUGGGUACUGAGACAUGGACCCAGGCUCUAUGGGGCGCAGCAGGCGAGAAACCUUAGCAAUGUGCGAAAGCACGACUGGGUCAGUCCGAGUGAUUCCUGCUAAAGGAAUUUUUUACCUGUCCUAAAAGCACAGGAGAAUAAGGGGUGGGCAAGUCUGGUGUCAGCCGCCGCGGUAAUACCAGCACCUCGAGUGGUCAGGACGUUUAUUGGGCCUAAAGCAUCCGUAGCCGGCUUUGCAAGUCUCCGGUUAAAUCCAUCUGCUUAACAGAUGGGCCGCUGGAGAUACUACAAAGCUAGGGAGUGGGAGAGGCGGACGGUAUUCGGGGGGUAGGGGUAAAAUCCUCUGAUCCUCCGAGGACCACCAGUGGCGAAGGCGGUCUGCCAGAACACGUUCGACGGUGAGGGAUGAAAGCUGGGGGAGCAAACCGGAUUAGAUACCCGGGUAGUCCCAGCUGUAAACGAUGCAACUCGGUGAUGCAUUGGCUUAUGGCAAUGCAGUGCCGCAGGGAGCCGUUAAGUUUGCCGCCUGGGAGUACGGACGCAAGUUCUGAAACUUCAAAGGAAA